CGCAGCUGCAGACCUGGCGUCCUGGUGCCUCCUGGCUCCUCAGUGAUCCAGCCCAGCCUGGAAAAGGAUCGCCUGGGCUCCAGGACUCACUGCAGAGGGUCCCACAGGGCCUGAGUCCUCAAACUCCGCUGAGGAGCCAGGAGAGUGACGACAGGUCUUAAGGCUCCUACAGAGCCUUCGCUGCUGAGCCUGGUGCGGUCCCUCCUCCUCCCCCCCGCAAGCUGCCUGCACACAAGGAGGAGACCCUGAGGUCAGCAGAGGCGCCGCAGAGAGGGCGGGCCCGGCAGAGAGCUGGUGAUGAAGACAGGCCAGCAUGAGGGCCAGGGCCUGCCCUGCUGGCCACCAGCCUGCCCGCCCCCAUGGCCGCUGUGGCUGGAGUUGGGAUCUGCUACUGCAGGGCCUGUCUCACUCCAGCCCCGGAAGCCCUGCCCAUGGCACGGCGGCCACCCUCUCCUGCCAGAGCUUUCCAGGAGCUCUGAGGCUGAGGCCACAGCCCCAGCCCCUGCCUGCAGCCCCGGGCCCCACCGCAGGAGAUCUCAGAAGCCCUGCACCCGGGGUUUAAGCAGGCUCUCUGCCAGGCCCCACCACUGCCGGGGCCCAGACCCCCAGCUCUGCCGGCACCAACGUCCUGGUGCUGGGCGGCCACUCAUGUCUGCAGGCCAAGCAGGCCCUGGCUGGGGGUUCUCCUUUCUGUCUAGCCGGUGGGGGUUUCCAGAUUUAGGAGAAUGAU